GAUGAACGCUGACAGAAUGCUUAACACAUGCAAGUCAACUUGAACUUCGGUUUGGGUGGCGGACGGGUGAGUAACGCGUACAGAACUUGCCUCACAGUUAGGGACAACAUUUGGAAACGAAUGCUAAUACCUGAUAUUAUGAUUUUAGGGCAUCCUAGAAUUAUGAAAGCUAUAUGCGCUGUGAGAGAGCUUUGCGUCCCAUUAGCUAGUUGGAGAGGUAACGGCUCACCAAGGCGAUGAGGGGUAGCCGGCCUGAGAGGGUGAACGGCCACAAGGGGACUGAGACACGGACCUUACUCCUACGGGAGGCAGCAGUGGGGAAUAUUGGACAAUGGACCAAGAGUCUGAUCGAGCAAUUCUGUGUGCAAGAUGAAGUUUUUCGGAAUGUAAAGUGCUUUCAGUUGGGAAGAAAAAAAUGACGAUACCAACAGAAGAAGUGACGGCUAAAUACGUG
rnacentral:rRNA from 1 species